AGAGAUCAGCUGAUUGCAUCUAAUAUCGGUUAGAUUACUUCUGAUUUCUGUCUAACACGUGGAGUUCAUCUGGAGGGACGAGUUAGGCAAGCGACUGUGUGAUAUGCGAAGUUUAGAACAUUAUUGUAAAAUGAUAGCUUCGAGUUUUAUUCUCAUACAUAUUUGAUAUUUGAAACAAUCGGUGCUUGAAUUUUUAUUUUACAAUACAUAUAAAAAAGUUAUGUUAAAUAGCGGGUUAUAUCAUCGUAAUGGAAUAUAUCUCUGUCAAAAAAGAUAAUGUUAGUGCAUCACAAAAAUCAUCAAAAAUCGGCUUAUUUUUGAUUGCAGUCACAGGUGGAAUUGCAACGGCGAUUAGUGUCGUGUGUUUUCCAUUUAUAAGCCCUGCGUUUCGUAAGAUAUGUUUACCAUAUGUACCAGCCACGCAUCAACAAAUAAAAAAUGUUAUUCAAGCAUUAAACGGUCGCUCUGGUUCCUUAAUUGAUCUUGGUAGUGGAGAUGGAAGAAUUGUUCUUGCAGCAGCAAAGCAUGGUUUUAAGGCCCAUGGUAUUGAAUUAAAUACUUGGCUGGUGUGGUAUUCAAAAUUUAAAGCAUUGAUUAACGGUUUAUCAAAUGAUACUGCAUUUUUUAAGCAGGAUUUAUGGAAACAUAAUUUGGGAAAAUAUAAUAAUAUUGUUAUAUUUGGUGUAGAUCAAAUGAUGGAAGAUAUUGAAAAGAAAUUUAAUAACGAAUUAUACAAAGAUUCCCUUGUAAUUGCAUGUAGAUAUCCUCUUCCUAAUACAUGUCCUAUUACGACAAUUGGGCAUGGAAUUGACACUGUUUGGAUUUACAAGAUACGUUAGAGCUGAAUUGAGGAAUCACAAAGGUGCAGGAUGUGUCGGCCAACCAGCUGCAUUAUCUGCAAAACGAACAUACUUCAUUACAGAACGAUCCACAAGGAUUUGCAUUCUCGCGUGCGCACAUUUACAACGAGGAUACUUACCAUAAAUAAAAUUCACGCUAUUGUACAAGAAAUUAGCCAUCAAUAUCCAAUAAGCUAUAGUUGCGCCCAGCAGCACGGCAAUACUAAAUAUUUUGGCAAUAUAUUCCGCCCAUUUGCCGAGGUAUAUUCUACUCAAGUCUAGGACCUCUAUAUUUUCUCCUCCACCUUCGAAAAUGGAAACGAUCGAUUCGUAACAUUAUAUCGGUCGAUGUUACACGGCUCGUAAUUCUUCUCGUGGACGAGAUUCACGAUGCAAGGCGAGUGCGCCGCUGCCGAAAGAUAUAACUCGUUCCGCGUUAGGGGGGGCGGCCUUUUCGGUACAGCUGUUAGGGUUGUGCUAUAACUGGCGGCGUCGAUGCUCCCAUAUCUAGGCAACACAACGAAGAUGUGUCAACACAAGUCACGCUUCAAAUUACAGCCGAUGAUUAAAGAGGAUCCAAAAACCACACGAAAAGUUAUCGUAAACUUAGCUGAACGAUAUUCGAUAUUAGUGAACCUUCCGCGAUUCUGUGUGAGUCGUAGCGUAAAUUGAA